GUGGCUGUAGUUUAGUGGUGAGAAUUCCACGUUGUGGCCGUGGAGACCUGGUCUCGAAUCCCAGCAGCCACA
rfam:Picea glauca, whole genome shotgun sequence.